CGUCCGACUGGCCGCCCCGCCAACAGAAGCCCGCCUCCGUCCUCCCUCUACCGACGGCCCUAAAGCUUUUCCUCCGCCUCCUCUUUGACAAGAGGCUACGUUUCUGUUCCGGUGGUGGUGCCCUUCGAUGGUCGUGCUAUGGUGCUGGUGCCCUCCACGUCGUCAGGAUGCUACUGCUGGUGUCCACCACGACUCGCUGCACCCUGGCGUCCACCCCUGGGAAGAGGCUAUGUUGUGGUGUUGUUGCGGUGGUGGUGCCCUCCGACGGUGGUGCUCUGGUGGUGGUGCCCUCCUCCAGAGCUCCAGCCACCGUCCACGUCGCCAGGAUGCUGCUGCCGGUGUCCAUGACCUGCUGCACCAUGGCGUCGCCCCCUUGGAAGGUCUAUGUUGACCCUGCCCUGCCCUAUUUUCCUAGGACCGCCCUCUUAUGUAUGUUUGCAGAGAUGUGACCGACGAGUGAAUCGUGCUCCUGCACCUAAAGAACUUUCCUAUGAAUGAGUGCAAGUGCUGUAGAUUGCUUAAUUGGAAUCAAUGAAAGAAAGAGAUCUGGUAGAUCUCAAUCACCAAGAAUAUUUUCUUUGUGGCUUUUUAUGCUGGGACUGAACUUUGAACAUAGUUUGUUUGGAGCAUUCAGUGCGAAUUUCGCAAAUGCGGCUAAGACAGCCUUCACUGUAUUAUUUGUUGCUGUUUGUCAUUUCUCAGGUUUUAGUUCAGCCCCAAAUGGAUGUACUCUUCUUGGUAUCUAGGCCUAAAAUAUAUGUGAAGUUUGAAUUGCUUUAUUUGAUAUAGUGGUGUACAUGCUUCUCUGGUCCUGCUGGAUCACAUUUCGUUUGUUUUAACUUCUGUUUUGUGGAUUGUUUCAAGUUACUUGUGUUUUAGAGCUUUGCUUCACUCGUCUUAUACACCCACCAAAAGAGAAGAGAAUGGAAAAUACAUAGUAGAUAUAGAUGAUUCAAUCACCGCUAAACAUAUGUUAGAUCUUGAGAGUUCUUUCAACCUUGUAUGCAACGAUUUUUAUUUUGAUAUCUGAACUUUUAAAAUAUAUUGAAACACAAUGAUGACAAGUGUGUGAUUUCAGAACUUGCAGUGCCUGUGCUUUCAGAACUGCUGCUGCGUGUGUCUCGUUUUGUGUUUGAUGUUUCAAAGCGACGUGUGGCUGCUUGAAGGACCCUCCUUUGUUUUGCAAUUACACACAUAGUUGGUACUAGUUGAUGAUUUGUACUUCAUGCCUGUACACUUGUGUCAACUGAGGAUUAACAGUUAAUCUGAUUUUAAUGGGAUCUUUCUCUUAGUAGUAGUUUCUCCUUAUGAAGCUAUCUAUUCAUGCAGAAAUUGUUGUCCAUUGCAGAGAUGCUAGAGUGCAAAGAAACCUUUGACCUGCUUCUCCCUUGUCUCCUCAUGUGUUCUGCAUCUAAUAGGAAUGGCCCUGUUUCUACUAAUAUUCUCAGUGUCCAAAUACAUGCUGUUUUCCUUAGUUUGAUCUUCUGCAAUUUGUUCUUUUAUAAAGUUAACUAACCAUUGUUUUUGUUCUUGCUGAGGAAAACAAGGAGGACAGCGAGCUGAAGCUUGCAGGCUGAUGCAUCUAUGACUUGGAAGGAGACUACGAGACACCAGGUGUGAAUGUACAUAAAAGGAGCAAAAUCAUGCCGACAUUUUCCAUGACAUGCAGGUUGUAUUCUCAUUAUUUGCUAUUUCUGUUGUGGUUCCAAGUAGUAGAUAUAUACUGUCAUGCUGCGUUUAGGGACAUGAUUCUUGAGCCGAAAAAUGUUUUUCUUGUGCCUUUUUAUGUUGGGACUGAACUUUGAGCAUAGUUUGUUUGGAGACUGCAGCUAAGGUAGCCUUCACUGUAUUAGUUGUUGUUUGUCAUUUCUCAGGUUUUUCUUCUUCUUUUGAGCUGUCAUUUCUCAGGUUUUAGUUCAGCCCCAAAUGGAUGUACUCUUCUCGGUAUCUAGGCCUCAAUAUAUGUGAAGGCUUCUUUGGUCCUGCUGAAUCACAGUUCAUAUGGUUUAAACUUCUGUUUUGUGGAUGGUUUCAAGUUACUUGUAUUUUACAGCUUUGCUUCACUCGUCCAUCAACAAGAGAAGAGAGUCGAAAAUACAUAGUAGAUAUAGAUGAUUCAACCAUCACAAAUCACUAGAUGAGUUGAAAAUGUUAGAUCUGAGCAGUUUUUUCAACCUGCAAUACAAAAAGAUUUUUAUUUGAUAUCUGAACUUUUUAAAUAUGUGGAAGUACAACGAUGACAAGUGCUUGUGAUUUCGACUUGCAGCAGCUCUGCUUUCAGACCUGCUGCAUGCAUGUCUCGAUUUUUUGUUUGAUGUUUCAAAUCUGAUGUGUGGCUUCUUGAAGGAUCCUCCUUUGUUAUGAAAUUACACACAUAGUUGAUACUAGGUGAUGAUUUGUAGUUCAUACCUGUACACUUGUGUCAGUGAGGAUUACCAGGUCAUCUGAUUUGAAUGGCACCUUUCUCUUAGUAGUAGUUUCUACCCAUGAAGCUAUCUUAAAGUGUUUUGCACUUGCAUUUGUACUAUGCAUGAGUGAGGUAUGUAUUUGCAAUUCAACAUGAUGUUCUGUCCAUCUCUGGUUUUCUUGUUACCUAAUGAUGCUAGCUGUACCUUGUGUUGCGAUGCAAGUUGUUUUCUUAUUUACUGUCAUAUUUUAAUCAGUUCCAACAAAGAAAAUAAAAUAAACACACGCUGGGUAUUGACACUGCUAGGGCUGGCCCUGUUUCUACUAAUAUUCUCAGUGUCCAAAUACACGCUGUUUUCCUUAAAGUUUGGUCUUUUAUGAAGUUAACUAACCAUUGUUUUUUGUUCUUGCUGAGGUUAACAAGGAGGAUAGCGAGCUGAAUCAUGCAGGCUGAUGCAUCAAUGACUUGGAAGGAUACUAGGAGACACCAGGUGCUCGCUAUCAAUCUAUCUGAUAUAUAUAUGGUGUGAAUGCAUCGAGAUUUUAGAUCCGAUAACUCAAGCAUUCAUCUGUUGAUGGUUUUUAUUGAACUUUCUUUGAAUGGAUUUGUGUUGCUGGUUUGCAUCAGCAUUCGGUGAUGUUGGUUGUUUUUGGUGCUGUGGAAACUUUUGUUGAUGUUUUGGGUUGUCCUGGAUGCACUAGUAUAGUAGUAUUAGUGUGUGAACCGUAGCAUAUAUAUGUUUGCUGCGUAGGUUUGGAUGUCCAAAAAUUCAGUGGCAUCAUUUCCUCGGUCGUUCUUGUGUUAUUUAGCGGGUUAAUUUCCUACUGCGGGUUGUUGGAUUCAGCUUGAACCUUAUUUAACUUUGCUGCUGCUAUCUAGCUUUGUUUGACCUGAUGAAAUGAAUGAUGUAUGGGAUGGGAGUCUCUUAGAAGUGACAAUUUGGUCACUGAUUUAUUCCUGAUGUUGCUAUGAUGAAAAGCGUCUAUUUUCUCUUGGAUUUGUAUCUCACUUCGUGCAUUGUUUUCUCUCUCAAGUAUCCAUGAACAUUCUGGCUUUUUUGCCCAGUAUUAUGUUUCUUAACUCUGUCAAAUUGAUGACUGUACCUUACUCAUUAUUUUGUCAAAUGGAAGCUACAUGGAAGAAGGAACGAGGACAAGUUGAAGCAAUCUUGUUGGUACUUUGGAUCAAGACAGUGCUUUGGAGGAUGAGAUGACUGUGGGGAUUAAUUUAGUAGCAAGGACAGGGGCACAACUCCCACCUUCCAUGCUGCCCGGCCCCUUCGAUGUCCAAGUUGUCGCAGCUGCUGCCGACGCUUUGGUCGUGGCCUAAACAAUGUCUUGGUCCUCUUGUGAUGUCGAGCAGUCGUUGACAUGGUAGUAAUAUGCAUGCAGUCUUGUGAUGCUCCAGGUUGAGGAGAUCGUAAUAGCAGUAGCACUAGAUGUUGUUUCCUUCACUGCAGCGGUUUGGUUUUCCUACAUGGCCAUGCACACUUUAUCUUUUGAUGUGCUCUAGAAUGUCCGAAAAAGAUUGAAACUCUUGGCCAAAAUUUCUGUGACCGCUAGUGUCAUCAUGACUGCUGCUAGCUUUCGCUGUGUGAUAAAAACAUCUGAAAACCAGUGCCCGAAUUUCGAGGACACCCAAAUUUAGGUGCAGUAGUACUGUCUAUAUGGAGCUAUCUUGGUUUACUAAUUGGAUUAAUGAAUUGACUGAGAGCGCUCUGAAAUCUUAACUUUAUUCUUCCGUAUACAACAUAGAAAGGAAGGGCAGCUAUUUCCAUCCGUCGGUCUGAUCGAUGCUAGGGUACCUUGCCACAACCCGGUCUGCGAUGAAGUCAGAUAGUGACUCCAUUGAGCCCAAGAGCGAACGACCCUUGUCUCCUAUUUUGGUACAAAUUCAGCCCAGCGCCUUCAUUUCUUAUUUUGAAACAUCCACAGGCUCCAUAUAGGCAGUACUACUGCACCUAAAAAAACAAAAGUACCCACAAACUGAGCUGGCCUAUUCAUUAACUUAAUAACGUACCUGGCAACUAUGAGAGCUACAUGAGAUUUCAGAUUCGAUAACACAAACAUUCGUAUGUUGAUGUGUUUUAUUUAACUGGAUUUGCAUUGCUAGUUUACAUCAGCAUUCGGUGAUGUUUGUUGUUUUUGGUGCCGCGGAAACUUUCGUUCAUGUUUGGGUUGUGCUGGCUGCACUAGUAUAGCACUAGUAAUACUGUGUGAACUGAAACAUAUAUAUGUUUGCUGUGCAGGUUGAAUGUCCAAAAAAAAGGGGCAAAGGUCAUUAUCUGCCUGCAGGGGGAGAUGACCAACACAGUGUGGAUCAACGAGUGGCUGGAGCUGGGUAAGGUAGCACGACACUGGUCCCAAGGCAGGUUUUCUCUAUCUCCUCCAUGCUUUUGUGUUCCAUGUGAAUUUUACGAGUGGCUGAACUCUGUUGUAGUUCCAAGCAGUAGAUAUAUACUGGGAUGCUAAGUUUAGGGACAUGGUUCUUAAGCAAUUCGAAGUAAUGCCUUGUGGCUGGGCUUGCUGUGCAAAUUCAAAUUUCCUAGCGUUUUUGGGCAUCAUCUUGGUUUAGUUGGAUUCCAACGUGAAAAUUGUAUCCAAAAUGCUGCAUUGCUUUAAUCUGGGGCUUAGUUGAUGAGCUAGGCUGCUGGUUUGAAUGUCUCUAGAGGUUUGCCUGGAUGCAUUUGAAUGUCUCUAGAGGUAUUCUCUGGUUUGAUCUUCCAUGCUACUGU